rnacentral:rRNA from 1 species
GAUGAACGCUGGCGGCGUGCCUAAUACAUGCAAGUCGAGCGAACAGACGAGGAGCUUGCUCCUCUGACGUUAGCGGCGGACGGGUGAGUAACACGUGGAUAACCUACCUAUAAGACUGGGAUAACUUCGGGAAACCGGAGCUAAUACCGGAUAAUAUAUUGAACCGCAUGGUUCAAUAGUGAAAGACGGAUUUGCUGUCACUUAUAGAUGGAUCCGCGCCGCAUUAGCUGGUUGGUAAGGGAACGGCUUACCAAGGCAACGAUGGGUAGCCGACCUGAGAGGGUGAUCGUCCACACUGGAACUGAGACACGGUCCAGACUCCUACGGGAGGCAGCAGUAGGGAAUCUUCCGCAAUGGGCGAAAGCCUGACGGAGCAACGCCGCGUGAGUGAUGAAGGUCUUCGGAUCGUAAAACUCUGUUAUUAGGGAAGAACAAAUGUGUAAGUAACUAUGCACGUCUUGACGGUACCUAAUCAGAAAGCCACGGCUAACUACGUG